AGCUCCAGUAGCGUAUAUUAAAGUUGUUGCAGUUAAAAAGCUCGUAGUUGGAUUUCUGGCAUGGCGAACCCGACCCGGUACUAUGUAUCGAGUGUUGGCCGUUUGUCUGCCAUCCUUCCAGAAAGUGUCAAUACUGUUUAUUCAGCCGUUGUCAUUAUCUGGGACUUUUACUUUGAAAAAAUUAGAGUGUUCAAAGCAGGCGUUACCGCUAUGAAUACAUUAGCAUGGAAUAAUAAUUUAGGACUUUUGUUCUAUUUUGUUGGUCUCUAGAAUAAAAGUAAUGAUUGAUAGGGAUAGUUGGGGGUGCUAGUAUUCAGCGGCCAGAGGUGAAAUUCUUGGAUUCGCUGAAGACUAACUUAUGCGAAAGCAUUCACCAAGGAUGUCUUCUUUA
rnacentral:rRNA from 1 species